GUUCUAAGUAAAUUCAAUAGAUACUUGUGUCAACCUUUUAUAUACAACUCAUGUCAACAUAAGGGUUAUAUUUUUUUUAGGUAAUUGUUGGAGAAAGAUGGCUUGGAAAUCUAUCAAUUCCCUGGUAAUCUGCAGGCCACUGUAGCAUAGAGUGUCUUCUUGGGAAUAACGAAAUGGCACCUGCUCCAAAUGGUUCCCAUGGGAACCUAGAGAAGGACUUUCCCUAUAUUCCCCACCUCUUUGGGCUUCAGCAAAAGAAAAUGGACCUCAAGGGAGUCUUCAAGAGCUGCUUCAAAAUUUACUGUUCAUCAAAGCACUUGCUGAAGACUGGCUUCGUGUCAGAGGCUGUGCUGAAUGUUAUGGAGAAGGAGGUGAAGGAGAUUCGGUGCUUACCAUGAAGGAGAGGUGGCUGCAUGAAUGUGUCAUUUUAUUACAGUGCAAUAAGUGAGGUGAUGAGCUUUGUGCAGAUUUUAUGGAAUUAAAGAAAGAGGUCAGGAAAGCUUUUAGGAACUGUAGAGACAGUGCCUAAAUUGUGUUUGAAGUUUGUCCCGAAUCAGCAGAUGAGAGAGGAGAGAGAAGAGUGGAAAGAAAUCUAGGUCAAUUAUCUUCCUAUUUCAAUUCAAAAGCAUAAAGGAGACUUAAAACACAAAAGAAAAAAAUGAGAGGAAUUAAACUUCAGAAAAGUAAAAUACACAAUCGUCCACGGCUUAUGUCCAUGUGAGAAGAAUGGAUAUGGGUUCAGCUAAAGGAAACUGUGAACUAUGGAAGAAAAAAAUCCUAUGCAUUUGUCAUCCUGGGUUUUCCCAAGUAAAAGGGGUCAAAUAGCCACCUUUGGGAUGCAUCCAAUAGUCCCAUGUAAGAUAUUUUCUUAGGGUGCGGGGUGAGGAUGACGGGGGAAGACAUGAACCAAUCUGAAAGGGAGUAAGCUUGACCACGUGGCCGAGUGGCAUCUCUGAAACCAACAGGGAUGAUGAUAAUGCUAUAGUCCACCUGGUUGGUCCAGAAAUGGUGCUUUCAUCAAAAGAACACACUCUAGCAAUCUACAACCAUUUCAAAAUAACCCAAAUCUUUUGUAAGUGUGUGUCAGCAACAGGAAGGUGAAACAUAAUUUCCAGGAACAUUCAAAUUCCCUCUUUUCCUGCUUUUUUCCCACCUGCCUCUCCAUCUUCAGGUGCUGCCUUCAGUUUCUCUGCCCUUUAACUCUCUGCUUAAAUCCUCAUGUCCUUUUUAUUACCCCAUCAUUUCCUCUUGACCUUGAAUCCUACUAUCUCAAGAAUUAUAAGGAGGACCUCCCCAUUUGGAUGGGGGAGGAGGUUCAACAGCUAAUUAUUUUAAUUUAGUCAUGUUCUCAUUAAUAGAAUCACUGGGACCCAAUUCUGCUACAGACAUAGAAUCUUAUAGUGUGAGAAGCGGAAGGAAAUCGGAUAUCUUAGUACAAUGUUCUCACUUUACAAAUUAGAGGUCUAUGGUCUAGAGAAAGGAGCCCAGGAGCAGCUUCUCAGGGCCAGGACCAUCUGAUAAGUAAGGCAGUUUGUUCUUGUUUUAAUAGCUACAAUCUCUUAAAUGAGGCUCAGUUCUUGUUUUAAUAGCUACAAUCUCUUAAAUGAGGCUCAGAACUUAAUUUCCUACUAUGUAAUUCCCAUCUCAGAAGAUUCUAGUGUGUCAUAGUGGGAUCACAAUGCUACCUUAAAGAUUUUCCUCGUGAAACUGGAAUAGAAUUUUCGCCUUCUAUUUUUAUGUUUGAAACAUGUUAACAUUUUUAAAAAUUGCCUUUCUUGUUGGCGUUUUUAUUGAUUCUCUCCACCAACUACCCAAAAUAAUUAAAUGCAUAAUAAGGAGCAAAAUGUAUGGAAUCAUCCAAAUGCUUGCUCUGGAUUAUGAUCUACCAAAUUAAAAACUUGUUUUUGCAUAACUAAAUCUGCAGGGGGAGAGUUUGCAACAAAUGCUCUUAAUAAUGAGGUGCCUGCCACUGAGCCUGGUGGUUUGCAUGUACCGUCUCACUUAAGCCUUGCAACAUUCCUGUGAAUGAGGUAACUUUCCACUUCACAGGAAAGUGGAGAUUGGGAGGGGUUAGGCUCCAGGUCACACGGUAAAUGGGGGAGCCAGUGUCCAAGCCCAGGUAUGGCAGAAUUAAAGUCUGAGCUCUUAAUCUCUGCAGUACACUCAUGAAAUACAUUGACUCAAAGGUGCAGUCAUUUUACAUCCUCAUUUCCACAGACUAGGUGUCAUAGAUGAAGAUAAUGCGAAGGAACAGUUUUCACCGUUGUGUUUAGUGCCGAAAAGGAUUUAAUUUUGGCUAACUGUUGCAAGGCUGCA
ensembl:lncRNA